AUUUCAGCUUUAUCCUACAGUUGAGACGUUCAUGUUACUGCAGGUGCAUAGCUGUCUCCUGCCUAUGGCCCCAUGUUGGUCAUCCAAAGCCACAACCCUGAACAGCAUUGAGCAGGUGCAAAGCUUUGGUAGGAAUGAAAAAAAUCCAACCAGCCCUAACAGAAUACAAAUGUUUUUUUAUUCGUUACAUUACACCCACUGGAAAUCUAUAAUUGUGAAGUAGAAUGAAAAUGUAACAUGGAUCUGAA